rnacentral:rRNA from 1 species
UACGAAGGGUGCAAGCGUUACUCGGAAUUACUGGGCGUAAAGCGUGCGUAGGCGGUUUGUUAAGUCUGUCGUGAAAGCCCUGGGCUCAACCUGGGAAUUGCGAUGGAUACUGGCAAGCUAGAGUACGGUAGAGGAUGGUGGAAUUCCCGGUGUAGCGGUGAAAUGCGUAGAGAUCGGGAGGAACACCAGUGGCGAAGGCGGCCUUCUGGACCAGCACUGACACUCAAGCACGAAAGCGUGGGGAGCAAACAGGG